rnacentral:snRNA from 1 species
CAAUGUGAGGGUGAUCUGGCUGUGACAUCUGUCACCCACUGAUCGCCAGAGUUGAUUCAGCUGAUCUGCCUGGCUAGGCAGGGUCCCGUUCCUCCCUCAAGGAUCCAUGUGUGUCCCUCCCAAAGCUGUGCGCUCGGUCGAAGAGGACGACCACCCCCCAACAGAGGAGGACCGUUCCUCAGUCAAGAGUAUACAAGUAGCUGCUCUCCCCUGUUAAAACCCACAAACAAGUUCUCAGAGUACAUCCAGCAGCUCUAACACUCAUACCACUGUGUUGGGGACCAUGGAGAAGGGGCCAGAAAGCACG